CCUACGGGAGGCUGCAGUGAGGAAUAUUGGUCAAUGGGCGCGAGCCUGAACCAGCCAAGUAGCGUGAAGGAUGACUGCCCUACGGGUUGUAAACUUCUUUUAUAAAGGAAUAAAGUGCGGCACGUGUGCCUUUUUGUAUGUACUUUAUGAAUAAGGAUCGGCUAACUCCGUGCCAGCAGCCGCGGUAAUACGGAGGCUCCGAGCGUUAUCCGGAUUUAUUGGGUUUAAAGGGAGCGUAGAUGGGUGGUUAAGUCAGUUGUGAAAGUUUGCGGCUCAACCGUGGAAUUGCAAUUGAUACUGGCAGGCUGGAGUAUAGUAGAGGUAGGCAGAAUUCGUGGUGUAGCGGUGAAAUGCUUAGAUAUGACGAAGAACUCCGAUUGCGAAGGCAGCUUACUAAACAGAGACUGACAUUGAUGCUCGAAAGUGUGGGUAUCAAACAGGAUUAGAUACCCCUGUAGUC
rnacentral:rRNA from 1 species